AUACUUACCUGGCAGGAGUGAUUCCAUGAUCAUGACAAUGUUUUCCUCAGGGCAAGGCUUUUUCAUUGCAUUCCAGAUGGAUUGACCCCUGAGAUUUCCUCAAAUGCGGGAAACUCAACUGCAUAAUUUGUAAUACUGAGGGACUGCGUUACUGCUCUCCCCUG